AUUGAACGCUGGCGGCAGGCCUAACACAUGCAAGUCGAACGAGUGGCGGACGGGUGAGUAAUGCCUGGGAAAGUGCCUUAUGGAGGGGGAUAACUACUGGAACCGGUAGCUAAUACCGCAUACCAUCGGAUGUGCCCAGUUUGGAUUAGCUGGUAGGUGGGGUAAAGGCUCACCGAGGAGACGAUCCGUAGCGGGUCUGAGAGGAUGAACCGCCACACUGGAACUGAGACACGGCCCAGACUCCUACGGGAGGCAGCAGUGGGGAAUUUUGGACAAUGGGCGCAAGCCUGAUGCAGCCAUGCCGCGUGUAUGAAGAAGGCCUUCGGGUUGUAAAGGACUUUUGGCGGGGAAGCGGUACCUGCAGAAGAAGCACCGGCUAACUACGUGCCAGCAGCCGCGGUAAUUC
rnacentral:rRNA from 1 species